GAAAAGACAUUGUCAGUAGUCAAGUCUACAAACAGUUCACAGAACACAAACAUGACUGGUACUUUCAUCCUUGGGUUGAAGCUCGUUCUUUUGCUGUCCUGGCAGUGUGUCCAUUGCGACCAAGCUCUCAAGGGAGCCGGAGAGAUAUGCCAAGCGGACAUCGACGAGUGUUCCUGUAACAACGGUGGAUGUGAACAUUACUGCCACAACACCCAUGGCAGCUACUUCUGUUACUGCCAGCCAGGGUACCAGCUGUCAGG